rnacentral:rRNA from 1 species
UACGGGGGGGGGCAAGCGUUGUUCGGAAUUACUGGGCGUAAAGGGUUUGUAGGUGGCUUGUUAAGUCAGACGUGAAAUCCCUCAGCUUAACUGGGGAACUGCGUCUGAUACUGGCGAGCUUGAGUGCAGGAGAGGAACGCGGAAUUCCAGGUGUAGCGGUGAAAUGCGUAGAUAUCUGGAGGAACACCGGUGGCGAAGGCGGCGUUCUGGACUGCAACUGACACUGAAAAACGAAAGCCAGGGGAGCAAACGGG